rnacentral:rRNA from 1 species
UGGGACUGAGAUACGGCCCAGACUCCUACGGGAGGCAGCAGUAGGGAAUAUUGCGCAAUGGACGAAAGUCUGACGCAGCAACGCCGCGUGGGUGAUGAAGCAUUUCGGUGUGUAAAACCCUGUCAGUGGGGAAGAAACGCACAUGGAGUAACUGCCAUGUGCCUGACGGUACCCGCAGAGGAAGUCCCGGCUAACUCCGUGCCAGCAGCCGCGGUAAUACGGGGGGGACGAGCGUUGUUCGGAUUUACUGGGCGUAAAGGGGGCGUGGGGGGGCGCCUUCAAGUCGGAUGUGAAACCUGGUGGCUUAACCACCAGCCUGCAUACGAUACUGUUGGUCUUGAGUACGGGAGAGGAGAAUGGAAUUCCAGGUGUAGCGGUGAAAUGCGUAGAUAUCUGGAAGAACACCAGUAGCGAAGGCGGUUCUCUGGACCGAUACUGACGCUAAAGCGCGAAGGCUUGGGGAGCAAACAGGAUUAGAUACCCUGGUAGUCC